AUCAGAGGAUUAAGGGAUUAAAUUAAGUUCUCCCCGGUGGAAAACUUGGAGGGAUAAAAGAAGGAAGAGAAUGCGAAGCAUCUCCUCCUUUCGAAUCUCCCGCUCCGAGUCCACGCCGGAAGCAUGUAUCGGGAAGAUUAUUAGGAACCAAUUAGAAAUAAUUUUCCCUCGUGUCACCACGCGUACGUGUAUGUGUAUAUAUGUGGGGAAAUGGAGCAAAGUAGUUGGCGGAGGAAGUUUCGAAACUAUCGAUAAUGGUUGUUCGACGAAUGGAAGAUCCGUGUCGUGUCGAGGCGCCUACUUCCGGAACACUUCUUCGCUAGUUCGUUCGUUCGUUCGUUCGUCUGCUUGUGUAAACGCCGCGAGAGGCGCUGUAUCGCAUUUUUCAAACGAUACACGAGAUUUCGCUGUUUGGCAAGAAAAUGAAAUAAGUGAAUUUGUUGUGUAAAUUAGUGAUUCUUUUGUUGAACAUAUCGAGAAUGGAUUAUUAAGUUUUAUAAUAAUUUGGUGCAGUUUCUUUUUUGGAUUAAAACAUCUUAAAAGAGAAUUGCACGCCCACGCCAUCGCGCUCGAUAAACCAUGGCGUGAUUCUCGUCGAUCGUGCCUCGAAGUCUGAUGAUAGCUGGAUUGCGGAUUUUUAUGCAGAAGUAUUUCAAAGAAGAUUGAAAUGCGUCAAUACACGUCACACUGGGUAGCAGAAAGCAACUAGUACAUCACGUAUAUAUGUGGCAUGACGAAAGGAUUGAAGAAACGAUAUAAAUGAUUACCAUGAUAAAAGAGACACUGCUUUUGAAUUAAACAAGAUGUGGCAGUGUAAUUACGUUAAGAUAAAUAAAGGAUUCAUCUUCAAUUGAAAAUAAUAGCAACAACCUUCAAGAAGCUUGGAUUUUUCUGCAAAAUUUUUAUGAUUAAAGAAAUGAAGUUUCUCCAAUUUUAUUUUAUUCCAUAAAUACAAUUCCAUAAAUAAAUACAAUAAUAUAUUCCUGAGAUAUCUUUGGAGAGUCGAUUCUCAGAACAAAAGUUGGUGUACAAAAAAAUGUCGAUUGAGGAUUAUUUAUCAAGUAGUUUAAGUUUGUAAAUAUUCAUACCAACUUUCCUUUUUAUUUUAUUAUCCUUUUCAAAGAUGUUUCAUAAAUAUAUUAAUAUUAUACUAUACUUCAGACAUUUCGUAUCUUUCUGCAUUUAAUAGACAGAGUUGAAAAAGUAACUAGUUAAAAAUUUCGAAUAAAGUUGCCUUAAGUAAUUACCCAACUUGACUGUUUGGCACUACGAUUAUUCCUGAUUAUUAUUAUAUUUUGAACAAUAAAUUAUCAAAGUAACUUUAUUCGUAACUUCAACUAUUAAAUUUUUCCCAUCACUUUUAUACGAGGUGUCCCAAAAAUAUUGCAAAUCAUCCGUAAACAGGAGAUUCCUUCAGUACUUUCAAACAACAUACUGACUACUAAAAAACACUAGUCAAUCACGCGGAGCCCAGUAAUGAAUAAAGUUGAAUAAAGUUACUUCCAUAAUUUUUAUUGUUGUAAAACAUGUAAUAAUAAUUGCAAAUAAUUGUAAUGUCGAAUAAUCAAGAUUAUAUGAAAAGCGGAUCAACUAUAACAGUUACUUGAAUAAAUUAUCAUUUUUCAGUAAUUAAUCACUCAAAGUAACUUUAUUUUUAAUCAGUUACUUUUUCAACGAGUUAAAAAACAACUUUGCUGUAGAUAUUAAUCGAGUCGAGUAGCAUAGUAGUUAAUAGUAGCGUGGAAUAAUAAACAAUUAAUUAUCACAUUGAUUAUCAAACAGAUAAUUACCAAUAAACAACAAGUGAACACAACAUAACAACGAGCUUUAACGUAAAAUUCGUCUCUCUCUGUUUUCGUACAGUGGACAAUCUAAUGAACUCUACGAGUUUAACAGUGCUCGUUCGUCACGACCGGUUAUCUCGAUUCAACGUUCAACUACUCAAUUUGCGCCAAAAAACAGAAAUGCGUUUCGAGGCCCACGACGAAACCAGCAAAAUUCGGUGAAUGCAUUUAUCCAAUCAAACGUGACGAUUUGUGAUACAUCAAUAAAUCAUGUAUACGCCUAUCGUGUCAAUAAUAGAGACAAAACUCAUCUUGAGAAAUAUGAUUUCAAUCGGAUGAAAAAAAAAUGGAAAUAUUCCAAGCAUUACAGAAGAUACAUUUUAGGAGAAAAAGAAAAAUAACACGGUUCGAGGAUUGAUUUCGUUCCAUCUUGUGUGAAUUUCCAUAUAAUCAAUUUGCGUAAACGAGGACUGGUGCGAUUGGCUGUGGGAUAUGCAAGGGGUGGAAAUUGGUGAAAGGUGGAAACGGCUUUGGGAGGAGGGGGAAGCAUCCGGUGUGUGUUCUCGACAGAAGAGAAGACACCCUUCGUCCCCUUUUUCCGGGCCAAAAAUCGGCCAAAAGUUCAUGUAUUAAAAGUACCUACAAGGCCAAUAAAUUAGAACUGGCGCUCUGCCAUUUCAAUCUCGCGGAUCUUGCUCGAGACAAGAACGCUGAAAACCCUUCUAUGAACCAUCAUUUUAUUCGAUGGAACGACACGCCUCACGACGACAUUUAUCCGCUGGAUGAAAUAGAAUGGAAAAUGAUCCAUUGGCCAAUUUUCAAUCAUCGAGCUAUGUGUAAUGUAAUCUGAUUAGAACGUGUAAUUCUUCUGCACGAAGAUCGUAUGAUAGAACGUAAUGAAUAGAUUUUGUUAAUUCUGUUUGAAGAACAGAAAUUAAAGAUACUGGAGUAUAUUUCAAUACUCUUCCACAGGAGGAAGAGUUUUUUUAUUUAUAUCAUUUUUGAUUUAUGUAUUAUUAAUUAUAUUUAGUUAUCGAAAAGCAUACGUUGCUUAGAAACUGUUAAUUUAUAUUCUAAAAAAAAAAAAAAGAAAAAAGAAAAAGAAGAAAAGAAAAUCAUAAA